GGGGAAUAUUGGACAAUGGGCGAAAGCCUGAUCCAGCAAUGCCGCGUGUGUGAAGAAGGUCUUCGGAUUGUAAAGCACUUUCGGCGGGGACGAUGAUGACGGUACCCGCAGAAGAAGCCCCGGCUAACUUCGUGCCAGCAGCCGCGGUAAUACGCAGGGGGCUAGCGUUGCUCGGAAUGACUGGGCGUAAAGGGCGCGUAGGCGGUUUACCAAGUUAGAUGUGGAAUUCCUGGGCUCAACCUGGGGCUGCAUUUGAUACUGGUAGGCUUGAGUAUGGAAGAGGGUCGUGGAAUUCCCAGUGUAGAGGUGAAAUUCGUAGAUAUUGGGAAGAACACCGGUGGCGAAGGCGGCGACCUGGUCCAUAACUGACGCUGAGGCGCGAAAGCGUGGGGAGCAAAC
rnacentral:rRNA from 1 species